AAUCAUGGCUCAGGAUGAACGCUGGCGGCGUGCUUAACACAUGCAAGUCGAGCGAAGCACUUAAGUUUGAUUCUUCGGAUGAAGACUUUUGUGACUGAGCGGCGAACGGGUGAGUAACGCGUGGGUAACCUGCCUCAUACAGGGGGAUAACAGUUAGAAAUGGCUGCUAAUACCGCAUAAGACCACAGUACUGCAUGGUACAGUGGUAAAAACUCCGGUGGUAUGAGAUGGACCCGCGU
rnacentral:rRNA from 1 species